rnacentral:rRNA from 1 species
CGCAUCUGUGCAUGCAGCAUAUCAAUAAGCGGAGGAAAAGAAACUAACAAGGAUUCCCUCAGUAACGGCGAGUGAAGCGGGAAGAGCUCAAAUUUGAAAUCUUGAAAGGUCACCUUUCACGAAUUGUAGUUUAAAGAAGUGUUUUCUGUUACGAUCGUAAUAUAAGUUCUUUGGAAUAGGACAUCAUCAGAGGGUGAGAAUCCCGUCUAUGAUUGCAUAUUUUUAGCUUUGUGAUACACUUUCAAAGAGUCGGAUUGUUUGGGAAUGCAGUCCCAAAACUGGGAGGUAAAUUUCAUUCUAAGCUAAAUAUUGGCGAGAGACCGAUAGCGAACAAGUACCGUGAGGGAAAGAUGAAAAGAACUUUGAAAAGAGAGUUAAAUAGUACGUGAAAUUGUCAAAAGGGAAGCGUUUAACACCAGUGUUGUUUUCUGAAAAUCAACCUCUGUUAGCUUUAUGCAUGUUUGUUUAGACCUAAUCAGCUAUCUUGCAUGUUCUAUUGUUUGCAGUGGUGCACUUUUCAGUUUACAGGUCAACAUCAGUUUUUUUUACCGUAAAAAAGUUAAAGAAAGGUAGCUCAUGGCUCCGGUCGUGAGUGUUAUAGUCCUUUUUCCUAUGCGGUAGGAGAGACUGAGGUCUGCAGUGUAGGCUAUUUGGCUAGAUACUCAGGUGCUAUGUGAUACCAUUUCAUAAACAACUUGUUGAUUAUGUUUUGUCUAUUGCAUACUCGCUUGUACUAUCAUACCUACGCUUAGGAUGUUGACGAUCAGCUGAGCGCG